GCAGACGUGGCCGAGUGGUUAAGGCGAUGGACUAGAAAUCUACUCCCCGCACAGGUUCGAAUUCUGUCGACUGCG
rnacentral:tRNA from 1 species